CACAGUUGCCCAGAGGAGCUCUGAGUGCCAUAUUCCUGCCCUUUUCCAGGUCAGGCUGGAUGGAUGGGGCUUGGAGCAACCUGGCCAAGUGGGUGCCCCUGCCCAUGGCAGGGGUUUGGAACAAGUUGGUCUUUUAGGUCCUUCCCAAUCCAGAUAAUUCCGUGUUUCUUGUGUUCUGUAAAGUCACUGUGCACACACACGACAGAGCCUCCAGAUGUCACCAUCAACCCAAGCAAGAAAGAGGCACAGUUUACAAGCCGAGCAGAAAAACCCCACUCACAGACUUCUCCUUUAUUCCUGCUCCCCUGCCUGGGACAGACAGACUGGAGGGUUUCCAGUCCACCUGGAUAAAGUGCUGGAAUCAUAGACAAAAUCAACGAGUGUGGUUUAUAGCUGUGCAUGAAAGCAUUUUGUGUGCACAUUACACUGAUGUAGACCAUAUAGUGCUUCCCUGUGUGUAGGUGCUUGUUAUUUUUACAUAUAUAUAAUAUAAAAUCACCUAUGUGUAUAUAUACAUAUGUAUAUAAAGUUACAUAUAUAACUGCAUAACUAUUGGUCUGAAGAAUCACAGGUUCUUUGCCGACAACUUUACCUGAAGGUAAAAGCAAGGCGUGUUCCCCAGUGCCUUUUCUAACCAUAUACAUAUUCAUCUCUUGCAGUACACAUUCCUGUGUCCCAUCCAGCUGAUGAGCUGAGAAAUGGAGCAAUCAGCCCUGUAUAAAGGAUCUGAGAGCACAGGCACAGGUGUUCCCAGAGAAAGAAGGCAAUAUGCCCUCAAGUCUGUGUAAUAAGGGUUUGAAUCCAAGCCAGUCAAGACCAGCAUGCAAGGCCUAAUCCCGUAAAAACAGUCAAUGUUUGGAUGGGAAACAUGUCACUGAGUUGGAGCCAGGUGGGUGCAGACUUCUGUGGGAGGAUGAGUCAAGAGAGCUCUGGCAUCAUCUGCAAAAGAACCUGAUGCCGUGGAAGAGAGCCUAGCAAGUGUAAAAACCCAUGAGGAAGCAGUGAUGGUCCAAAGAAAAGCCCACAAUUUCCCUGGUUGCCCUUGGAGCAUCCUGGAGAUCACUGCAAGACCAGGUAUUUGAAAUAAGCUGUUUUUCUUCUACCUCUGAGCCGUGAGACAGGGAUAGUCUGUUCCUCACACAGCUUCUCUGAAGAAACUCCAGCCUUGAGCACAGAACUGACAGCUGGCAAGAUGCCAUUGGCUUUGCCAAAUCUGACCACAGCUGGUCCCUGAUGCAAUAAAAUGUUGAAUCACCA